CUACGGGGGGCUGCAGUGGGGAAUAUUGCACAAUGGGGGAAACCCUGAUGCAGCCAUGCCGCGUGUGUGAAGAAGGCCUUCGGGUUGUAAAGCACUUUCAGCGGGGAGGAAGGGAAUAUGGCUAAUAUCCAUAUUCAUUGACGUUACCCGCAGAAGAAGCACCGGCUAACUCCGUGCCAGCAGCCGCGGUAAUACGGAGGGUGCAAGCGUUAAUCGGAAUAACUGGGCGUAAAGCGCACGCAGGCGGUUUGAUUAGUCAGAUGUGAAAUCCCCGGGCUCAACCUGGGAACUGCAUUUGAAACUGUCAAACUAGAGUCUUGGAGAGGGGGGUAGAAUUCCAGGUGUAGCGGUGAAAUGCGUAGAGAUCUGGAGGAAUACCAGUGGCGAAGGCGGCCCCCUGGACAAAGACUGACGCUCAGGUGCGAAAGCGUGGGGAGCAAACAGGAUUAGAUACCCUCGUAGUC
rnacentral:rRNA from 1 species